AUUGAACGCUGGCGGCAGGCUUAACACAUGCAAGACGAGCGGGGUGAUGGUGCUUGCACUAUCACUUAGCGGCGGACGGGUGAGUAAUGCUUAGGAAUCUGCCUAUUAGUGGGGGACAACAUCUCGAAAGGGAUGCUAAUACCGCAUACGUCCUACGGGAGAAAGCAGGGGAUCACUUGUGACCUUGCGCUAAUAGAUGAGCCUAAGUCGGAUUAGCUAGUUGGUGGGGUAAAGGCCUACCAAGGCGACGAUCUGUAGCGGGUCUGAGAGGAUGAUCCGCCACACUGGGACUGAGACACGGCCCAGACUCCUACGGGAGGCAGCAGUGGGGAAUAUUGGACAAUGGGGGGAACCCUGAUCCAGCCAUGCCGCGUGUGUGAAGAAGGCCUUAUGGUUGUAAAGCACUUUAAGCGAGGAGGAGGCUCUUUUGGUUAAUACCCAAGGUGAGUGGACGUUACUCGCAGAAUAAGCACCGGCUAACUCUGUGCCAGCAGCCGCCGUAA
rnacentral:rRNA from 1 species